UCGAAAUAUCAAUGCAUGCGUGUGUUGUGGUCUACAUUAAACUAUAGAUGUCCAUCAGAUAUAAAGAAAUUGAAUAAGAACGUCUAUUUCGAAAGUCUAUUCACAGAAGACUUGAAUUCUCAUAGAAAAUACUUAUAUCCGGCGAACGGUUUUCGGGCGAUCGAUGGAUAUUAAAAACAAGAGAAAAAAAAAUCCCCCAAAAUGUUGCUGACGGCGUACAGUACGAAACGUGCGCAGUAAAUGUGGAAUUCCUAAAAUGGUGGAACUUUUUUUAUUUUCUUUGUGCUUACGUUCAGGUCCCAUUCAAAAGUGUAUUUUGUUUACGAAAUGUAAGAAGAAAACAUCAAAACAAAAACAAAAACCGGCUUUAAAAACCGGCCAUCGCCGUAUACGCACCGCUCCAAAGCGCCCGAAAAGCGUAUAUCUCCCGCCCAGAUCCUCAGACGCGAUAGGUGAGAGGAUAUAAAAGCGAAAGAAAAACAUGUUUACCCAACAACUACUGCUGCACAACAUCUUUCGCCGGGUCGGCGUUCGAUCGUUACUCACCCAUAUCCUAACGAUACGAGCACCAUCUCUUAUGUGAGAACCAACAAUAUCAACUCUAUAGUAGCUUGCGCGGCGGGGAAGGUGAUCGUGCAAACCGUGCGCGUAAAUUUCAUCCUCGACCAAAUGUGCUCUUUGCACCGAUGGUAAAUGAUCGAAAGCUGUUUGGCGUUUGGUUGGACCCCGCGGAGCCUCAUUACACCUUCUAGUCCUCCUCGGGUGUCCAAACAGGUCGAUUGCGCAGAACGCACAGAUCGAAUGGAAGGUGAGAUGAGAAUCUUACGCAUCUUAUCCGCCCCGAACCGGUAAUAUCCAGAUUUAGCUAAAUCCUGCGUUUGAAGUGGAGGAAAGACGAAACAAACGAGCCUUAAAAAUCAUCGUGCCUGGUAUGACCCUCUUUUGUUGGGGCGGUUUAACCUUGAGUGUAUAGGGGUUGUUAUGCGUCUCGCUCUGCGUUUUUGCGGAUUAACUUAUUUGAACAGGUCGCAACAAGUUGGGGUUGUACAAUCACGGCCGAUUUUACGAUUUUUUUUUAUAAUUUCAAUGGAACGAUUUAUACAAGUUACCCCUAAUAAAAAGGAUUAUUAUUUUUUUA